rnacentral:rRNA from 1 species
UACGAAGGGGGCUAGCGUUGCUCGGAAUUACUGGGCGUAAAGGGCUCGUAGGCGGCCAACUAAGUCGGACGUGAAAUCCCCAGGCUCAACCUGGGAACUGCGUCCGAUACUGGAUGGCUUGAAUUCGGGAGAGGGAUGCAGAAUUCCAGGUGUAGCGGUGAAAUGCGUAGAUAUCUGGAGGAAUACCGGUGGCGAAGGCGGCAUCCUGGACCGACAUUGACGCUGAUGAGCGAAAGCCAGGGGAGCAAACGGG